AGUCCAUGGUUAGAUUGAGACUAGAAAUCUCACUCCACAUUUGGUAUAUCGAUGCCAGUAGGAAUAUUUUGAAUUUGAGAUUAGGCAGUAAAAUCUUCAAGUGUAUAGCAAAGGUAAUACUUUACUAUUAGAUAUUUUACUGAAAGAUUUAAUAUACAUACAAAUCCUACUCUCUAGUACUUUUAACUUUUUUUGAUAGAAUCUAUGUUGAACCACAGCACUCACUCCUAACUGUCUUCCUUUAAAAAAUUCUUUAUGUGCAUAAGUAUGCGGUCUGCCUUAACUGUAUAAAACAGCACUCGUGUACAUAUGAAUUUGUAUAUAAACUUCCUUUCCCAAUUUGCUUCCUUUGUCCAUUAGAUAUAUAUAUCACAUUUUCGUAGACUUAAAAAUUUUUUUUUUGUUACACCUAUUCAUACACUCAAACAUUAGGUUGCUUCACAAAAAAUAUUUGCUACUUUUCUAAGCGAUUCAUAAAGUUUGUUCACUUUUAAACCUACCAUCAAAUUAUUUGGGCUCAAGUCUGCGUCAUUCGCGAUCUGGACAUUUUCAAAACUAAGUCCUAAAAUCGCGUUUUGCAUUCGAAAGAGUAUAUAUUUAGGUGGAAAUCUGUUUUUCUAGAAAAGAAACUGAUGGAGUAACGACGUGUUAAUGUAAAUUUUGAGGGUCAUGUCAGAUUUUCCCAUUCAAGCCAUCAGAGUUGUAUUAAAGUACUUCGUGUCCCACAGGGUAACUCGUGCUCUUCGUUUGCUGGAGGUGGUGGCUGCUUUCAGAAGGUGGUACUCACGAUGUUCUCGGCGCAAACCGAAAAACGGUUGUACUGCCAAAUAAUAAGAAGAACAGCAGGAUCUCAACUACCUUAGGUUGCCAGGUAUCAGUCGAUCUUAUCCUAUGUUGGAAACUCACCAUGAAUCCAAAAUUCAUUUUUACAGACCAUUGUUGUUUGUUGUCCAGACAAAGGUAUAUAGCUAUUACUGAACAACGACGAUGAUAAAUGUCUAGUCUGAUAGCUAAUCGACAACCAAUGCCGCACUCAAGAUUAGUCGGCGAGCGCAUUUUUGCACUUUCGAUUGCGUAAGAAUACUUUCUAAUUGGAAUUAUAUGGGACACAGACCAUAGUCAUUGCCUAUGAGUUGGCUAUGAAAGGUGGUCUCGCAGGCUCACCCAGCAAGGAGAGAGUGGGAGUAUGUAUGACACAAUUCAGUUCAGGGGAACGUUGG